CUGAGAGGAAGGUCCCCCACAUUGGAACUGAGACACGGUCCAAACUCCUACGGGAGGCAGCAGUGAGGAAUAUUGGUCAAUGGACGAGAGUCUGAACCAGCCAAGUAGCGUGAAGGAUGGCUGCCCUAUGGGUUGUUAACUUCUUUUAUACGGGAAUAAAGUUAGCCACGUGUGGCAUUUUGUAUGUACCGUAUGAAUAAGGAU
rnacentral:rRNA from 1 species